UACAGAGGGUGCAAGCGUUGCUCGGAUCUACUGGGCGUAAAGCGUACGCAGACGGUGAGAAAGGUCGGAUGUGAAAGCCCCGGGCUCAACCCGGGAACUGCAUCCGAAACCAUCUCGCUAGAGUAUGGGAGAGGGAAGCGGAAUUCCUGGUGUAGCGGUGAAAUGCGUAGAUAUCAAGAGGAACACCUGAGGUGAAGACGGGUUGCUGGGCUGACACUGACGCUGAAGCGCGAAAGCCAGGGGAGCAAACGGG
rnacentral:rRNA from 1 species